AGUGGACACAGCCUUCCAGCAGCAGUCGCACCUCUGCCAAAGAGAGAGGUGCCUGGCAUCGAACAAGCUGACAGAUCGGUAGCAGCAGAAGAAACUGGUGGCUUUACAAUGGGACUCCAGUUGAAUAUGAAAAGUCAGAAGCUACAGGAAGGACUAGGAGCUGGCUGAUGUGUCCUGAAAAUACCCGCCAAGCUUUCAUCAAACUUCGUCCCCUCCCUUUUGUGGCAGGGACACUGACCAAAUUCCUCAGCCCUCCCGUGGCAUUUCCGGUGUCCUGCCAUUUGAUCCCACCGAGCCCGUUGCCUGGUUAGUGCCCAGCGUGAGUUUCCCUUCUGGCAGCACCAAUUCCCCACAGUCGCAGGUGUGGGGGACAGGAGUAAGAAGACGGUGCUGAAGAUUGGGUGGCUACCUACAGCCAGUUGACAUCCGAGGCUGGAGAACACCUGGUAUCGGCUGGAGAGGAGAAUGCUGGCUGGUUGGCAGUGACGCUUCCUUCUCUACCACUGUCC